ensembl:lncRNA
CAGUUCUGUUGGCAUCAAGUGGACAUGUUUAUUACAGCUGGCAGAGAGACAGAGUUGACACCUUUCACCUCUGGAGAAGGUUGGAACAACAGGCAUCUAGCUGAAAUCCCAUGUCACCAACUAGAAGCAAAAUACACCUUUCAAUCAGCCUUGUCAAAACGAUGAAGUAGCAGGAAUCUCCUUGGAGAGCAAUGUAUCACAACAGUUUUCAAGACAGUUUCCAAAUCGAAGAUGACUUCCAAGGAACAGCAAGGAUGUAAUCUUGGAGCCAAUCAAACCAGUGGCAAAAAUCCCACUUUCUGCAUGAUCUUCUUAAUGCAGCCUCUGACAUUUUGGAGCUUCAUAUAUUAUGGUUAAAAGCUCUUAUCCUAUCAGCUGAAGUGAAUCAAGGUGGGAGGAGGUGAAGCAAUUGGAACGGGCAGUUUUUAAGGCUGCGCUGAGUAUAAGGGGAGUUAAGUGGAGAUAUGCCCCAAACAGAACCAGUGGACCUGGUGUCACACCUAACAGUUGUGUGAAGCAGCGCCCUAUCCCCUGGUAUUGCCAGGAGGAGCCGUGGAAGGAGGAAAUUCAAAGAGGAGCUGUUUUCCACCUCUCCUCAUCCUGGGUGCUUUUCAGCUCAACCACCCUUCUGGAGGCCAGAAAACCCACUAUUGUCACGACGCAGUUUCACUGAUGAUUGCUAGAGUGGUGGAGUUCUAUUUUGCUCCUGCUGCUUUUCCAGUUACAGGACAGCGACCUGAGGAGAGAAGGAAGCCAAGCAAGGUGCACUGAAGAUGGGCCAAGGCCUACAUCCUAUGGAAACUCUUGGGAUAGAUGAAAUCCCACCACUGAUUGACACCUAUCUUCUUUAUCUUCUUUAGCACUUAGCCUCUAAAACUUGGUGGAAAUUCACAAGUCUGGAAGUGGUCGUUGCAUUCUUGAGUAAGAUGCCGUCCAUUUUACAACCGGCAUUUGUCUGUAGGUUCCACAAUGGCUCUUUUAUUUAAAUGCUCACUCCUUGCCUAAGGAUUAUUGACUGGAGCCUUUCAUUCCUGACAUCACCCAGUUUCUCCAUGCUGACCAGCUGUGUGUGGAGAAGCAGACUCAGAAGAUGGCUACUCCGGGGUCAGCACUGCCAGCCAGCUGCUUAUUCUUGCAUGGGAUAUCCGCCUACUCCUUGCAAAAGCAGUGCCUGGGUGACCCAUCUGCUAAUGCAGAGGGGCGCUUCUGAGGCCGAGCAGUUGCAUGGCCUGGCAGAAAUACAUUUUGGGGAGUGCACAGCUUAUGUUCACACACAAGAAAGAACUUUACAGCACCAGGCACUUAGAUGUCCUUCACGCCUUCACCUCUCUAAGGAAUACCCUUUCUGAGCCAUCCUGUGCUAACCUGGACAUUAGAAUGGAAUGCAGACAAACAUACAUAGCAACUUGUCCCCUCUGAUUUACCCAAAGUCAUUUCAUUUCUUUGUGUUCACCUGCAUUACUUUGAUCCAAGCAUUCAUUUCUUAGGCAGAAACUUUUUAUACACAUACAAUCUUUUUUUUUUUUUCCCCUUGAUAAAAAAAAUCUAAUAUCCUUCUCCCAGCCUAUGGAUGUCUGCUGAGAGUCCAUGGGUAUGAUUCCUAUAAGGCCAUUGCUGCUUGAGUGGGAAAGAAUGCACAGCAGUAAGGUAUCCUCAGGUUUCCAAACCACCUAGAAGUUUAGUAUGGUCUCAUUCUUCCAAAACACAAGUUCUGUCAACUAGAACAACAGCAACAAAAAAAAAAACCCUACAAGUUUAUUAUCUCCCAGCAUUAAAACACAGCCAUCUUUUUAUGAUGACCACACAACACUCCUGCAGACAUGACCAAUCAUUAGUUUUGCCUGACGAUCAGACCUACUCACCUGUCAGCCUAGCUGGCUUGCUGAUGGAAAUGCUGCUUCUCUGAGGGCCCAAACAGAGGCUUCAAGUGAAAGAGAGAAUGAGAAUUUGGCACAUAACCCUGAAAAGCCCCAGUACAACACUGGGGCUUCUUGGCACAAGUCACCAGUUUCAGCACCAGAGACUGCUGUGUCUGUAAGGUCAGGCCUAUUUCCCUCACCGUGCCCUGUGAGCUCCUCUAGCAAGCUCCAUCUUAAGUAAGGAAAUUGUUUGUGCUUGUAAUCACCAGUAGUUAGCAAGCCUUUUUCUAAUUUCAGCCUAUGUCCAUCCACAGCAGGUUGUAUUACCACUUCUUGUACCAGUGCAUGCCUUUCCCUAGAGAGCUCUUCUCAACCUUCCUUAAUUUUUAGCUAUGACAUAUUUAUAGGCAGAAAUUCUGGUCGCUGCCUUUCUCUGCUAACCCCUCCCACUGUCCCCUCUGUUGGCAGGCCCUGUUGUCCUUGACCACCUUGGUAACAUUUCUGCUAUUGCUCCUGCAUCAGCUCAUCUCUUUUGUUUCUCAGUGAUGAAAGAAGUGCACAACAUUGAAGCUGAACGCUCAUCUGUGCCUGGUGCACUAUCCCUGUCUGAUUUGCUCGCUACGACUGCAUUUCCCUUUUCAUGGCUACAGCAUAGUUGUGGCUCAAAGUCACCCUGUGAUUAGAGUACAUCGAAGUCUUCUUCCUCCCCGAGCAGCUUUAAGUGCAUGGCUCAUACUGAAUGUUUUCUUAGUAACAAUACCCAGCUCUGCGGUGAUCUGCAUGAGCUAUGGGUCUGGGCCCCUUCUCCAGAAGAGUCAGACUUUGCCAGCUGACACCAGCUGCAGAACCAGUUCUCAGUAUUCAGUGCACUUGGGGAGAAAGAAACAAGUAGUAAACCAAAGACAAACAGAGCUACAGUCAAACGUAUUAUAACACUACCAACCAAGACAGCUGCUUCUGCCAACAUGGAAACAAGAUAGGAACUAGAGUGUUUCUAUUUUUGCAUUCAAAUAGAAACAGAUGGAGAGGACUUGGGGAAUUUAUCAAACCAAAUAAAUAUUUUUCAUUUUAAAAUUUGAAUGGAAUGGAAAUUAUAAUCUGCCACUGUUACCAUGGAGCUGAAUAUUGUCCUUCCCCUCAUCCGGCCUUUAGCAGUAAGGAGUUGGUUGCGGCAGGGCUGGAGUUUUGCAGUUUUCUUCCUCACCCAACCCAGCUCUCUCCUUUGAAUUACACUGCCUGGUUACCGACUGCAGAAAGAAGAGUCAGGUUUUGCAAUAUUUUUUUUAUGGAUUGCUAGCUGAAAAAUGAGAACAAAAUGAACUUCUGGAUAGCAGGCACCACUGUUUUUCACUAUUCUUACCUAAGUUAAAGCAGUGAACCUCCACUUCCAAACUGAGAGGAGCCAAAGUGCCCAACUUCAGACCUUCCUGUGUGCCAGCUCCAAGCCAGUGGGAUGACUGGGAGGCUGGAGCCACACCAAAGCUGGGGAUUUUGAGCCAGAUUGCUGCCACCACCUUCUUAUCUCAGACCAAGAGCACCUGAGGCUGCCUAAAACCUGCUAGAAACAGCCCAGUGAGGUGGAGCACUUUCUUGCAAUGACUUACAGAAUGUCACAGCCAAAUCCAAAAAGUGUUUUAAAAGUGAGGAUGCAGUACAAAUGGAACAAACUUGGUCAUUAACUCUGGAUAUUCCACUGCCUCAAGAGUAGAACCUCUCUGCUUGGUCAAAUAGGUAAUAAAAUAGAUUAACAGAUAAUCUAAGAGGCUCUCCAUUGCCUUUUUUUUUUUUAAACUGUUUCCAGUAAACAGCCCCAUGCCUGUAAAUAUUUUAGAACAGGAAAAUAUUUAGUGACCCAGGUACUGAAAGGGCUGCCAUUAACCCUGCAAUAGACUUUUGCAUCCGCAAAUGCCCCUGAAAACAAAUGGAUUAGACUAAUUGCAUUCAUUCAGAUUAGCAAACAGCCCGAUAAGCCAGGACCGUGGUCCAUAAUGGCACAAUGCCCUUGGAGACUCCUUUCCUAGGACUGUAUCAGCAGUGCUACACACUGCAGGCAUCACACAAGUGUGCUGCUGCCAUUAAACUCCUGUUCUUUAAGAGCUUAAGAGGCCGAUUCAAACAUUUUUUCCUUCCUUGAACUGUAUUUAAAUCAAGUCACUUCUCUACAUUUUUCACCUGAAUAAAGAGCAUUUUUCUGUUAUGUUAAGGUUUGUAGGUGACG